GUGUCUACACGGGUGCACGAGUCGCUUUCCUGGUUGCCGGCAAUAUUUCGUACCCAGGUCAGUCUGGGUCGAUCCACCAGCGAUGCACUUGUGCGAUUGCGAGCGCUGUUGCCGGCGAUAGGGGAUCCGACUCGCGGCACAGGGCGCUCGGUCGGAUAUCCUAGAUUCCUGAAAAAAAAUCGUCAAAGUAAGAAAGGAUGCAUCCGGCAGGCGUUGCGCGCCACGUGGCAUACAUGCGGAUCGACGAGUUCCGGAUACUACACGAGACGUACAGCGCCAAGUACGGCGUUCUGAAUGGCAAACACGACAUCGGGCAGGUGUAGUGAUGGUGAUCCUGUUGUGGUUGUUGUUGUCGGCGAAAAUGGAGGUGUUACGAAUGGUACAUGUAAUGAUAGCGGAACCCUGAAACCGUUACCAGCGGGGUAGCGUCCUUUGCGUCUCGCGGGCCGAUAACGACAUCGAGCUGGUGUGGUGCUGAUGAUUGCCCAUGUUGGUGAUGAUGUUCAUCAUGGUUAGGCCCGUAAGCUUCUACCAGCGGUUGGACGUCGUGUGUAAUUGUCACAGGCAGCGUUCACCAUUCCUUGUGGAAAGCGAGCAAGCUCUUUUUAGACUCACCGACGCUGUACCAGGAUACGAAACAGCGUGCGGUGCAGGUGCAGCAUAAAUCGCGGAAGACGCAUCCCGCACGUGACUGGACGCAUGCGUGACGGCGGCUGAAAAGGUACAGGAGCUCGGGUUGGAGGAACGCCUCCCUCGCACACUCAUAGAACAUCGUGCAACUGGCCGUGUUCAUUAUAAGAAUUGCGUGCACUGCAGUGCAAAUGCGAGCGACGUUGUUUGCAGUGUCAAGUGCAGAUGCCGACGCUGCCGUCUUUUAGGGCACAAGCUCGAUGAGUCGUACGAGGUGUCAGGAGCUGUGCCAUUACUGCCUUCAACAAGGUUGACCCUGGGAUGCGCCCAAUUGGAGGACGCUGCUGUCGACCUGGAUUCCACACGCGUGUCGGAAGAGAAUGGAACGCGUGCACUUUGCUCAUUCAGAUGUAGCAACCAGAAUCUGGCUGGCGUCCGACCGUCAUCGAAACCAGCCAUCAUGCGUCCUUCCCGCAGCUUCUUCUUUUUCCUUUCGUUGAUCACCGGCAUUAAAUAUACCGGUCACGCUUGUCCUUCCAUCACCGCUGUCGACAGUUUACGAAUUUGAUAGCAACAUCAAAGUUCUGGUUUAGCCGCUUACGGCUGUUUUCUAUGCGUUUGAUCGGCAGGCGGCACUCGCAAUCGACACUUCGCAUGCCAGUGUCAUCUGCUUUGCACAAGGCCAAGGAAUACCCUUUUUUAGCCGAGACACUUGUUUGUGACCAGAUGUUACCACGUAUCCACCAGAUUCCUCCUAUGAGAUCAGAACCGUGGAUUCAUGGCCGGCUGCAUGCCCUGGACGGGUGCAGAGGACUCCCCUCGAUGACCUUUUCUGUCCCCACAUUCAUCGCCAUACCCGAAGAUCACCGGCUCCUUCAGAGCGGUGCCCUCGACGAGUAUUCUGUCUGCUGCGUACGCAAGCGUAUGCGGUUCCUUUCGACAGAGGGUCUGUGGAACGCGAUCUUUUGCAUGAUGAAGCAGGUACCAGGAGCGGAAUCGAGGCUGGAUGACAAGUCGAGAAAUUUUGGAUCCGUCAACGCUCGCUUCGGGCACAACGGUGAAGCGCGCCUCACCAGAAAAUUGAUCCCUGCAAUGGCUCGAGUCCGAGUCUGGGACCUGUUUCUGUGAAAGCAGAAGAGACGGUAGCCUAUGCGAGCAUAUCCUGAGAGUGCUCGCUCACUGCCGCUGUUGAACGUCGGAUCUUCGAUUCUCACAGAGAAAGGAUUAUUUGACUUGCGAAAGGAUUCUGUUGUAUGAGAUGGAGCGUGCAGUGAACUUUGGACAUGAGCCUGUGAUCAAGUGAUCAAGGAACGACGUCGUUUUAUUGUCCUCGUUCAUCCAAUCCUGCGAAUGGCUGCGCGUGUACGAGUUGCCUCGAAACAACAGUAUCGAAAACACAAAGCGUGUGUGAUUUGUGCACGCCACACGUUGGAAAAACCGCUUGGGGCUCUGACGUUUCAGUAAGAUCAUGAUAUCGUUUAUUUUCCAAACCCUGAUUCCAAUGCCGUAACGCAUUCCAGAUGCAACGCGUCGUAGAAACCACCCAGAAAAGGCAAGCGAACACCAUAAACGACGUG